rnacentral:tRNA from 1 species
GGUGGCUCAGUGGUUGAGCACUUGCCUUGCAUGCAUGAGGUCCUGUGUUCAAUUCCUCAGCACCA